rnacentral:rRNA from 1 species
AGAGUUUGAUCCUGGCUCAGAACGAACGCUGGCGGCGUGCCUAACACAUGCAAGUCGAACGGAGUGAAGGAGCUUGCUCUUUCAUUUAGUGGCGCACGGGUGAGUAACGCGUAGAUAAUCUGCCUUGGACUCUGGGAUAACAUCUCGAAAGGGGUGCUAAUACCGGAUAAGCCCACGAUGGCGUAAGUCAUUGCGGGAAAAGGGGGCCUCUGAAUAUGCUCCUGAUUCAAGAUGAGUCUGCGUACCAUUAGCUAGUUGGUAGGGUAAGAGCCUACCAAGGCGACGAUGGUUAGCUGGUCUGAGAGGAUGAUCAGCCACACUGGAACUGGGACACGGUCCAGACUCCUACGGGAGGCAGCAGUGGGGAAUUUUGCGCAAUGGGGGAAACCCUGACGCAGCAACGCCGCGUGAGUGAUGAAGGCUUUCGGGU